UUUUUCCCCCAGAAUGGUUUUAUAUGUGUGUAGAUUCCACCCAAGAGCAAUAUGAAAAAAGGGAGAGAAGAGGUCAGAUGGGAAGAGGCUAGAGUCCAGCAGAACCCAUUUGGCAUAUAGAUCAUGUGGAACUCUAAAUAGGAGUCCCAUGUUCUUUGUGCUUCCAGCUAAAGGUGGCCUUUUCUUUUGCUGCAAAAGAAAAAAAGGUCUCCCCAACAUAAUGCGAUGGGGGGGGGGCCUGUCCGAUCCUUCCAGUGUUUGAUUGUAGCUGCUUAGCUAAUAGGAUUUGCAGGGACCAAUCUCAUUGCCCUCCAUCAAGGCCGAGGACACCAGGAAGUAACGGUGUACAGCACAAACAUUUGAAUUAAUACAGGACAAGGCUAGAUCAUAAGUUUUGAGUACUGUCCUGGCUUCACUACAAUGCCAGCAGAAAUCUGUAGAUGAAACAUGUUUGUGACAGGGGAAAGGGAGGGAGGUACAUGCCAG